GGACCCGCACAAGUAGUGGAGCAUGUGGUUUAAUUCGAAGAUACGCGCAGAACCUUACCAACACUUGACAUGUUCGUCGCGACUCUAAGAGAUUAGAGUUUUCGGUUCGGCCGGACGAAACACAGGUGCUGCAUGGCUGUCGUCAGCUCGUGUCGUGAGAUGUUGGGUUAAGUCCCGCAACGAGCGCAACCCUCACUUUUAGUUGCCAUCAUUAAGUUGGGCACUCUAGAAGAACUGCCAGUGAUAAGCUGGAGGAAGGUGGGGAUGACGUCAAGUCCUCAUGGCCCUUACGUGUUGGGCUACACACGUGCUACAAUGGUACUUACAAUGGGACGCAAAGAGGCGACUCUUAGCUAAUCCCUAAAAUGUACCUCAGUUCGGAUUGUACUCUGUAACUCGAGUGCAUGAAGCUGGAAUUGCUAGUAAUCG
rnacentral:rRNA from 1 species